AAAAAAAAAAAAAAAAAAACACUGCUACAAUCACCAUUACUAAAAAAUAAUAUUGUGACUAAGUACAACUAUUGAUGUAACUACGACUACACUAAUUAACUAGAUUUAAAGCUAUAAAAAAAAAAAAUAAAUAAAUAAAUAAAAAAUAAUGCUAAAAAAAAAAAAGUAAACUAAUUUGUUUUUAUAUGGAAAUAAAGAAUAAAACUUACACACAUAUACAUACACAUGGGUGUACAUAUACAUAUAUUCAUUAGCCACUAGAUAAAACAAAUUGAUCUAUAUUAACUAAUAAGAUGAACAAUGACAGUUGUGACCCUUCUCCUUAUAAGGAUGAUAGAAGAACCCAUAAAGAGGAAAUCGAUUUAGGAAAACAAGAGUACAAAGAAAAGGUACAAAAUAUAAAACACAUUAAAAAGAAAGGCGAUGAAAAAAACGAAACAUAUGCAAAAGAACAAGAAAUAAACGAGAAAGAAAUUAGCGAAAACGAAAAAAAAGAUAUAUAUGACCUUAAUGAAAGUAAUAAUAUAAAUGAAUAUGAUUAUUUACUUAAUAAAAACUUAAACAAUGUAAUAGAUGAAAAAAAUAAUAAUAAAUUAUUUAAUAAUCUUUAUUAUGACAAUGAUAUGCUACUUUUGACAUGUGGUAAUCAUAAUGAUCAUACUAUUAAGAAAUCAGAAAACGAUUAUUAUUAUGGUUUGUAUUCAAAUAAUAAUGAUAAUAAGAACAGUAGUGGUAAUAACAGCACCAAAUAUAAUAGUCGUUUUUAUAAUAAAAGUAAUAGUAUAAGUGACUUCUAUAAUUGUUUAACAAAUAAUAAUAGCAAUAACGAUAAUGUAGCAAAUAGUAUAAAUUUUUAUUUAAAUAUAAAAAAAGAUUAUUCUAAUAAUGUUAUUCAGUUAAAUACAUUUAGCAGUAACGAGAACGAGAAGUACAAUCAGGUUAAUCAUACACCUGAGGUAUUUGCUAAUCGUUUAAUAAAUAAAAAAAAAAUAAUUGUUUCAUGUCCUGACAUUUUAAAAAGUAAUUAUACUGGAAACAUAAGCAACAAAACAAGCAGAAUAUACUUAAAAGAAUUCAAAGAAUAUUUUAAUAAUGAUAAUAAACAACAAAAUAAAUAUUUUAUGAAAAUGCAUACUGAUAUAAACUAUUCAUACUCGAACAGGUUUUUAACAAAAUUUCGAUCGAUGAGUGGUGUCCGUGGUGAUUAUAGUUUAGAACGUACUGUUAUGGAUCGUUAUAGUUUUGGUCGUAACAAAUAUGUUUAUGCUAGUUUUAGUCAUUCUAAUCGUACUAGUCGUUCUAGUCGUUCUAGUCGUUCUAGUCGUUCUAGUCGUUCUAGUCGUUCUAGCCGUUCUAAUCCUACUAGUUUUAAUCGUACUAAUCGUACUAGUCGUUCUAAUCCUACGAGUCUUUCUAAUCCUACAAGUCUUUCUAAUCCUACGAGUCGUUCUAAUCUUACUAGUCGUUCUAAUCCUACUAGUCGUUCUAAUCAUACUAGUCGUUCUAAUCAUACUAGUCGUUCUAAUCAUACUAGUCGUUCUAAUCAUACUAGUCGUUCUAAUCAUACUAGUCGUUCUAAUCUUAUUAACACACAAUCCAUCUGUAACGACUACAAUCACAAUGGUACAAGCGACCUAAUCUAUUUUAUGCAAAAUAAUAUAAAUUAUCGUAAGCCUAACAUAAAAUAUGACGAAAGUGAAUAUUGUAACAAAGACUAUAAAAUUAAAUCGUGCGUAAAUAAAUAUAAACUUAAUAAUAAAAAAAAUGGAGUACAAAGUAUAAAUAGUGAAGAAGGCAAAGUUGUAUUACCUACCUGUAGUAAUAAUUAUUUUUUGCAUAAUAAUUUUAAAAAUUUAUCUACUACUUAUUCAGAUCGUUAUUAUGAUUACAAUAAUGUAACUCAUAAGAAGUGGAAAAAAAAAUAUGAUUUAAAAAGUCAUACAAAUAACCUGAUAUGUCCUUUUCAAGAUGUAGGAAGUAAUAAUUAUGUAGACGCUAAUAGUACGCCAUUAAAUUUUUUUGAAAAUAUAUAUUAUUGUACUGAAGAAGAAAAAGACAUAUUUUUUGAUUCAAUUAAAAAUAUGCUACAGUUAAUAAAAGAAAUAAAAGUUAUAAAAAAAAAAUUAAAAAAAGAAA
rnacentral:lncRNA from 1 species